rnacentral:rRNA from 1 species
UCCUGAUGAUUGAAGCUUGCUUCAUGAUUCAGACCUUGGUGAGUGGCGGACGGGUGAGUAACACGUGGGUAACCUGCCCAGAAGUGGGGGAUAACAUUUGGAAACAAGUGCUAAUACCGCAUAACAACUUAGAUCACAUGAUCUUUGUUUAAAAGAUGGUUUUGCUAUCUCUUCUGGAUGGACCCGCGGCGUAUUAGCUAGUUGGUGAGGUAAUAGCUCACCAAGGCGAUGAUACGUAGCCGACCUGAGAGGGUAAUCGGCCACAUUGGGACUGAGACACGGCCCAAACUCCUACGGGAGGCAGCAGUAGGGAAUCUUCCACAAUGGACGAAAGUCUGAUGGAGCAAUGCCGCGUGAGUGAAGAAGGUUUUCGGAUCGUAAAACUCUGUUGUUGAAGAAGAACAUAUGUGAGAGUAACUGUUCACGUACUGACGGUAUUCAACCAGAAAGCCACGGCUAACUACGUGCCAGCAGCCGCGGUAAUACGUAGGUGGCAAGCGUUGUCCGGAUUUAUUGGGCGUAAAGAGAAUGUAGGCGGUUUAUUAAGUUUGAAGUGAAAGCCCUCGGCUCAACCGAGGAAGUGCUUCGAAAACUGGUAAACUUGAGUGCAGAAGAGGAAAGUGGAACUCCAUGUGUAGCGGUGGAAUGCGUAGAUAUAUGGAAGAACACCAGUGGCGAAGGCGGCUUUCUGGUCUGUAACUGACGCUGAGAUUCGAAAGCAUGGGUAGCAAACAGGAUUAGAUACCCUGGUAGUCCAUGC